UACGAAGGGGGCUAGCGUUGCUCGGAAUUACUGGGCGUAAAGCGCGCGCAGGCGGCCAAUCAAGUCAGGGGUGAAAGCCCGGAGCUCAACUCCGGAAUUGCCUUUGAAACUGAUCGGCUUGAGUACGGGAGAGGUGAGUGGAAUUCCCAGUGUAGAGGUGAAAUUCGUAGAUAUUGGGAAGAACACCGGUGGCGAAGGCGGCUUGCCAGAACGCGCUCGACGGUGAGGGAUGAAAGCUGGGGGAGCAAACCGG
rnacentral:rRNA from 1 species